ensembl:lncRNA
GAACAAUGGGAGACAUAGGGUGCGUUCAUAAAUUCACUCUGGCUAUCUACUCCGAUUUCAGAGCACUCUCGCCAGACCACAGUAUAACUGCUGAAUUUACGAAUGCUCACCAGUUGAAUAUGGCCGGUGUCAGUAAACGUUGGCAAAAUGCGUAAUUAUAUUGUUGCCAAUAGCACAGUUACAGUCACCAACGCUCUGGAUAACACGAAAACAGCCUAAUCAGCUCUACUUGGCAGGGAGACAUGCAGUACCAGCAAAUCUUCUGCAAGAGAACCAAACAGUUGGUGGUUAUGAAGCCCUACACCACUUUCGGCAGUCUUAUCCAGCUGGCUGUUCAUCUCAGUACGGACAGAGAUUAUCACACUACUGUCAAUGGGCUGGAAUAAGAGGAAGUUCACCAACAUGGAUCGCAUGUAACACUCGUCUGAAGAAGUGGACCAUAAUCAUAUUCUUUAAUGAUAACCACAAAAAGAAGAGAGAGAGAACCAACGAAACGUACAGCCUUGAAGGGCUCAACAGCAACAAUACAAGGACAAGAUCCUACAACAUAGAAUGUCAAAAGACUGGAGGAGACCAGCCUCGCAAAAAGCGGGAAGAGCUAGACAUCAACACCGCUGUGCUACAGGAGUGGAUUACUGAGGUCCAGCAGUGGCCUGAUGACACACUUCAGGAUCGUCAGACGGGGCAUCUCCAGAAGAAGCUUGAAGGGCUUUACCACAGUGUGAAAGAGGAAACUACUUCUACCAUUUGACAGCUCACAGGCAACUGCCAUCAAAAGGCAAUCUUCAACAGACUGAUGUUAGUGAACAGACUGCAGGAGGAAGAGAGGAUCCUGGUCCGGGAGAUGAAGAGGCACUGGGGGAGCCUACAAAGAGCAGUGGGAACUGUGGCGGCACUGUACCUACAAGAUAAGUUGAGGUAAUGCAGUGGAGUUUUCAGAGGGAGGGAAGAAUGGCCUUCUCUGCCACCCGAAGAGAAGAUUGAGUGAACUGACACAAGACCAAGUUGACACCAGGAAUACCUACCACAAGCUGAUUCUGGGAGAAGGGGAUAUUUUUUUAUGACUGAUGUAGGUGAGAACUCCGAUGAAGAUAGAAGUUCUAUUGCUGAGAGCUCAGAUGACAACUGCUAUGCUUUCUGAAAUCCUACACCACCCCUGCCUCUUUCUCUCGGUCUCACUUUCUUCCGCAGGAGAGGGAGAAGGCCGCCAACCACCUCCCUUGGGAGCAGCCUGGUCUCCUGACGUUGACCCCUCACCUUCUGAACCCAUCCAGGGAAAUGUAAUUUGCCUGAUGAUGUGCUAGUGGAGAAGGAAUGUGUCAUGUUUCCUCUCCUCACCACCUCUCUUCCGGUCCUAGACUAUGGCAACAUCAUCUGCAACUCAUACUGUUGGUUGAGGACCUCUUACUGAGGAAUGUGGUUCUUCAUUAUUAUUUAUCUGUAUUUACUACAAGUAUUUUCUAUGCUGCCAUGAUUGGGGUUUUUGUGAGUUGCAAAAGAGUCCUUGAUCUCAAUGGGACUGCUAAAAUAAAUAAAGGUCUUAACAAAUAAAUAAAUGCAUUAAGCACUGUGUGUGUUUCAA